rnacentral:rRNA from 1 species
AUUGAACGCUGGCGGCAUGCUUUACACAUGCAAGUCGAACGGUAACAGGUUAAGCUGACGAGUGGCGAACGGGUGAGUAAUGCAUCGGAACGUGCCCGGUCGUGGGGGAUAACGCAGCGAAAGCUGCGCUAAUACCGCAUACGAUCUGAGGAUGAAAGCGGGGGACCGUAAGGCCUCGCGCGAUCGGAGCGGCCGAUGUCAGAUUAGGUAGUUGGUGGGGUAAAGGCUCACCAAGCCAACGAUCUGUAGCUGGUCUGAGAGGACGACCAGACACAACGGGACUGAGACACGGCCCAGACCACUACGGGAGGCAGCAGUGGGGAAUUUUGGACAAUUGGCGAAAGCCUGAUCCAGCAAUGCCGCGUGCAGGAAGAAGGCUUUCGGGUUGUAAACUGCUUUUGUACGGAGCGAAAAGGUCUCCUCUAAUACAGGGGGCUCAUGACGGUACCGUAAGAAUAAGCACCGGCUAACUACGUGCCAGCCGCCGCCGUAA